AGUGAACCUGAGCCGGAACUUUCUCUACAUAAGCAGGGCCUCCUGGCGUUUGGAGAGGUGGGCCCAAUCCUUUCAGUUGAAAGAACAGAACUGAGGUUUCCCUGAAGAAGAAAUUCCACUUGUGAACUGUAUGGAUAGCUCUCACCCAAGAGUUUCCAGCCUGGACUUCCUGAUGACCUGCCUGCCAGCCCCCAUAGUCAUGAACAAUGUCCAGUGAGGCAUACAUCAAUCCCUGGAAAAUAGGAUGUUAAUGACCAAGACUAUGCAAGAAGCAAAACAGUUUGACAAGUGAGAGGACAACUAAGGGAUGUGCAAGGUGAGCUAGAUGUGUUGAACUGGUGAAGACAGGGCAUUCACUCAGUGAAGUAAGCCUACCAUGGGUUACACAAAAUCAAGUCUCUAGGGGGCUGUACUAACAAGGUUAUGUGUGCAACAAGAUUUGUACUUGUCCCAAGUUUUGUUUUCUAUCUUUAAUUCUUCCUAUGUGAUUUGUCAGAUUAUUUUCUCAUGCAUUCAUCUUCCAAAACCUUGACAAGCUUAGUAUUAAUUUGAAUGAGCUUAGAUAGUAGCCAUAUGGCUAUUGCAUUUGCUACAAGUAUUCACUUAACCCUGUUUCUAAUUUUACUUGUUCAGUUUUAAUUUUGCAAUUUUAGAUUUUUAUGAUAUAAAAUGUCUCAACCUUUAAAAAAAACAUUUAUUUCAAACUCUGGAAGGUAAACUGUUCUCCAUUACAGUGUUUCCCCAAAGUACAUUCCACAAAACUCCAGGUAUAUAAGAUGCAAUAAGGAAAAACUAUUUCAAGGGUCAAAGAAAUAUGGAAAAUAUCCCUGUAUCUAGUCUGACAAAUGUGAAAUCAACAUGUCUCAAUUUGUUUUAUCCAAUGGUUCUCUAAUGAAUUUGACAGUGGAACCAAUUUUGCUUGUAACCCUUAUCAACAUCUCAGCAAUUCAGUGGUCCAUGGAACACUUUGGGAUAUGAUAUUCUACAGAGUUUUAAGAGGCUUUUUUUAUUCAGGAUUUAACAUUUUAAAAUGCAUUUGACCCCUGAAUGCAUCCGAAGUUCAUUUCGUUAUGUGGUACUAUUAAGUAAUUAAAUGAUUGUUCCUUUUCUUUGUCCUCUUUUAUUGUUUUAAGCAAGUCACUUAUCAAAUACCAAGUCUGGAGAGAAUUACAAAAGCGGAUUUUGUUCCUGUCAGAAAAUAUUAACAUUAAAAAUGGGAUUUAUUUCUCCAGUGUGGGACUGAUGUUAAUGGCUUUGUACUUGAAGCAACUCCUUGGGACAACUGAUUAAAUCUACCAAUUUAUAUUAAGCCUGGUGGUAAUUUUCUUGGUGAUUUUCACAAGGCUGUGUCAAGUCCUUCUGGAACUUUGAGUUAUUUGGGCCAGAAGCUCCCAAACAUGGUCUUGAGAUGUGAUUAGGGAGAACAGAGUAGAGAAGUGGGGGCUAUCUCACCUAAACAAUAAAGGAAAUGACAUGUCUCAAGUUUUAAGUUCUUUUUCCAAAUACAAUUAAAUUGACCCUAGAACAUUGGAGUUUAUGCUGGCAUCCACCUUAGUCCUUCCAGUUCCCAACUAUAACCCCCUUUCUACGUCAGACUGCUGUUGAGAGGUGCCAAAGUCCUUUUGGAGCCCAAAAGAACAUUAUUUGAUGUUCUAAAGUAUCAAAAGGAAUAAGAAUGCUCUCCCUCCUCUUUUGUCUUAAACAAGAUUUUUAUAUCUUAUAAUCGAUGAUUAUGACUAUGGUAAUGACAAUAUAUGUGAAAAUUCUCCACAUUUAGGAAAGCCACCAAACAUAGAUUAAUCUAACUCUAACUUUCUUUUUAAAUGAGAAAUCUCUCAGAUCUUGUCUCCCUAAGAUCUACCCAUACUGUUUUCAAAUUAUGGGGAGACAGUGUCCUUAGGUACAAGAGUGAGAACCUGGCUCUUCACUUAAACCCAUGAGUCUUUCACUUCUACAGUUGGAAAGCAAAAAUGCACUAUUUAUUGAUUUCUGGCUACAAAGUAGAUUGCAUCUGUUGGGCAGAAUGCUGGGAUUUUUACCUUUUCCUUCAUUAUCAACUAUACUCAUGUCAGCCUUUGCCUUGGCUAAUAUUUCCAUGGACAAUUCAUGACCCAGUUCUGCAGCCCUCAUUGUCGGAGUACAGCCCAUCUUGUCUUGCACAUCAGGAUGAGCACCAAGGCUAAGGAGAAAGCUGACCAUAUCAAUGUCAUUGGAAAUUGAGGCUAAGUGCAGAGCACUGUGUCCAUUGACCGGUUCUGUAAAAUUGAUUAGUUCAGGGUAUCCAAGCCUGAUCAACUUCUCUAUCUGCUUCAUGUCUUUGUUCCGAACACACUGAAGAACUUUGUAGAUCUGCAAGUUCUCAAGUCUCUUAUCUGCUAAAGCCAUACUCGACCACCUUCUUGAAGAUGCUUUUCUGGACCAAAACAAAACUAUAGCAACAAAAACAAAAACAGAAACAUACAAAACUCAAAGUUAAUUCUGUCAUCUGUAUUUUGAUUAGAUAGUAAUAUUUUAUACCUUCCCUUCUGAGAAGAGAGGCUGUUUCUUACGAAAUAAUAUUACCAUAGUUUAUGGCAACUGCCUUCAUGAGAGUAUAAAUUACACAUAAAUACAAAGGACAUACAGUUAGCAUAAAGUUAAAAUAUUUCAAAACAAAUCUUUCAUCCUAAUUAAUAUCAGCCUUGCUGUGAAGCUUUCUUGUUAAUUUAAUUUCUUGUCUCAUUUAAUCUUCCUUCCUUGACACAGCCUCCCCAUUUUAGCCACAAAGAAAGUAAGGCUAACAAAAGUGCCAAGGUAAGGUUUCAUUUUCCCACUACAUGGCUCUGUUACCAGCAUGCCCCUCAACAGAGACCACACAGGUUUUAGCAGUUAACAAGUGUUAAAAAAAGAACAUGUAGAAUUUUGAGGUGCUUAUCAUAAGGAGGAAUCUACUGGAUUCUGUGAGAUACCAAACGUGAUUACUGUGUCAUCUUACAUGGGAAUGAGGUAGGUGAACGGUUGAGAGAGAACUGUAAUUUUCAUAAAUAAUCCCACUGUUACAUUGUAAUGAUCAUUCUAAUAUGAAAUGUUAUCUCCUUUCAUUUAUGGAAAAACAAUAUUUUCAGUUGAGUCAGGCUAGGUAGACCCAGCUUGCUUUUCUUUCCUCACUUUUUCUGGGAAAAGAACCCCAUUAUCAUAUUGGAAAUCCAUUCCAGAUCAUAUAGUACUGCUAUCCUAGGCCAAGUCAUUGCCACAGACUUCUAAUUUGUCUCACUGCUUCUACAACAGAUCCCCUAGCUUCCUUUCUCUGGUCAGUCCUCAGAAACAUCUUUUAAAAAUGUAUCAGAUAAAGUCAAGCAACCUUUGACCCCCAGCAUUUUGUAUGGAUCUGCCCCUUCCAUCCCCUAUGAUAGCAAUGAGUCAAAGACCAAGGCUUAGUCUGUGUGUGAGCACAUGCUCAGGAAGGACAUCAGCCAGUCAGCAUCCUAAGGGACCCUUCUGUCAGAACUAUAUGGACAGACUACUGUGUGCUGAUGCUGUUAAGCAGUAGGGUGGGGUGCUGCAGUUGCAGGAACCAUGUUGGCAGUCAGGGAGAGUGUGUGCUACAGAGACUGAGACUUAGGGCAGAGGUUGGGACUCAGUUGUGCCAGAAUUCACCCACCACUUUAAUCCAUGCAACAUGUUAGUUAAUGCAGC